rnacentral:rRNA from 1 species
CCUACGGGUGGCAGCAGUGAGGAAUAUUGGUCAAUGGACGAGAGUCUGAACCAGCCAAGUAGCGUGAAGGAUGACUGCCCUAUGGGUUGUAAACUUCUUUUAUAAAGGAAUAAAACGAGUCACGUGUGCCGUUUUGCAUGUACUUUAUGAAUAAGGAUCGGCUAACUCCGUGCCAGUAGCCGCGGUAAUACGGAGGAUCCGAGCGUUAUCCGGAUUUAUUGGGUUUAAAGGGAGCGUAGAUGGGAUGUUAAGUCAGCUGUGAAAGGUCGCGGCUCAACCGUAGAAUUGCAACUGGUACUGGCAGUCUUGAGUACAGUUGAGGUAGGCGGAAUUCGUGGUGUAGCGGUGAAAUGCUUAGAUAUCACGAAGAACCCCGAUUGCGAAGGCAGCUUACUAAACUGUGACUGACAUUGAUGCUCGAAGGUGUGGGUAUCAAACAGGAUUAGAUACCCUUGUAGUC